UUUUGAAGCGAGUUACGCGUCUUCAAAGUUGGAGUGAGAGAGUGAGAGACGCAGAGAAAACGACUGUAUCUUUCUCUGCCACCUCUCACUCUCUCAUCUCCAACUUUGAAGACGCAUAACUUGCUUCAAAA
rnacentral:sRNA from 13 species